CAACAGCGAAACUACUUGUCAUAUUUAUUUGAAUAUAGAUUCAACGUCUGGUUGGAAAAUGCAGGAACAAAUGCUGUUCUCUGACUGAACUUUGCGAGCCAUGGCCAUUUUUUCGCAUUUUUGAGCGAAAAAAUGGAGAUCUCUCGACGAGUAUCCGGAAUUGCUCGGUCCAGUCGACACGCUCGUGUUUCUGAGGCCGUAAUAUAGAACGUAGAAUUAUCAAGAUAUUUCGAU